AUUGAACGCUGGCGGCAGGCCUAACACAUGCAAGUCGAACGGUAGCACAGAGAGCUUGCUCUCGGGUGACGAGUGGCGGACGGGUGAGUAACGUCUGGGAAACUGCCCGAUGGAGGGGGAUAACUACUGGAAACGGUAGCUAAUACAGCAUAACGUCGCAAGACCAAAGUGGGGGACCUUCGGGCCUCACACCAUCGGAUGUGCCCAUAUGGGAUUAGCUAGUAGGUGGGGUAAUGGCUCACCUAGGCGACGAUCCCUAGCUGGUCUGAGAGGAUGACCAGCCACACUGGAACUGAGACACGGUCCAGACUCCUACGGGAGGCAGCAGUGGGGAAUAUUGCACAAUGGGCGCAAGCCUGAUGCAGCCAUGCCGCGUGUAUGAAGAAGGCCUUCGGGUUGUAAAGUACUUUCAGCGGGGAGGAAGGCGGUGAAGUUAAUAGCUUCACCGAUUGACGUUACCCGCAGAAGAAGCACCGGCUAACUCCGUGCCAGCCGCCGCGGUAA
rnacentral:rRNA from 1 species